rnacentral:rRNA from 1 species
CCUACGGGAGGCUGCAGUGAGGAAUAUUGGUCAAUGGACGAGAGUCUGAACCAGCCAAGUAGCGUGAAGGAUGACUGCCCUAUGGGUUGUAAACUUCUUUUAUAUGGGAAUAAAAUGUUCCACGUGUGGGAUUUUGUAUGUACCAUAUGAAUAAGGAUCGGCUAACUCCGUGCCAGCAGCCGUGGUAAUACGGAGGAUCCGAGCGUUAUCCGGAUUUAUUGGGUUUAAAGGGAGCGUAGGUGGAUUGUUAAGUCAGUUGUGAAAGUUUGCGGCUCAACCGUAAAAUUGCAGUUGAAACUGGCAGUCUUGAGUACAGUAGAGGUGGGCGGAAUUCGUGGUGUAGCGGUGAAAUGCUUAGAUAUCACGAAGAACUCCGAUUGCGAAGGCAGUUCACUGGACUGCAACUGACACUGAGGCUCGAAAGUGUGGGUAUCAAACAGGAUUAGAUACCCUUGUAGUC